rnacentral:rRNA from 1 species
UACGAAGGGGGCUAGCGUUGUUCGGAUUUACUGGGCGUAAAGCGCACGUAGGCGGAUAUUUAAGUCAGAGGUGAAAUCCCAGGGCUCAACCCUGGAAUUGCCUUUGAUACUGGAUAUCUAGAGUACAGAAGAGGUAAGUGGAAUUCCGAGUGUAGAGGUGAAAUUCGUAGAUAUUCGGAGGAACACCAGUGGCGAAGGCGGCUUACUGGUCUGUUACUGACGCUGAGGUGCGAAAGCGUGGGGAGCAAACAGG